GUAGUCAUAUGCUUGUCUCAAAGCUUAAGCCAUGCAAGUCUCAGUACAGACUGUAUUAAAGUGAAACCGCAAAAGGCUCAGUAAACCAGUUUUGAUUCACUUGAGUAAACUUGACUGUCUUUGGACAACUGUGGUAAUUCUAGAGCUAAUACAUGCAACAAAGCCCUGACUUUCACGGAAAGGGCGCUUUUAUUAGAUCAAAACCAUUCGCCCGGCUUGUUCGGGCGUAUGCUUGAUGAACCUAGAUAACACAUCAGAUCGUAUGGUCCCAGAACCGACGACUUAUCUUUCAAAUGCCUGACUUAUCAACUGUCGAUGGUAGAAUCUGUGUCUACCAUGGCUCCAACGGGUAACGGGGAAUA
rnacentral:rRNA from 1 species